rnacentral:rRNA from 1 species
GGGGAAUAUUGCGCAAUGGGCGAAAGCCUGACGCAGCCACGCCGCGUGAGCGAUGAAGGCCUUCGGGUCGUAAAGCUCUGUGGGGAGAGAAGAAUAAAGCCUGUGAAGAGCAGGCCUUGACGGUAUCUCCUUAGCAAGCACCGGCUAACUCCGUGCCAGCAGCCGCGGUAAUACGGAGGGUGCAAACGUUGCUCGGAAUCAUUGGGCGUAAAGCGCACGUAGGCUGCCCGACAAGUUGGGGGUGAAAACCCUGGGCUCAACCCAGGAAGUGCAGCCAAAACUGGCGGGCUUGAAUCUCGGAGGGGGUCGGAGAAUUCCCGGUGUAGAGGUGAAAUUCGUAGAUAUCGGGAGGAAUACCAGUGGCGAAGGCGCCGACCUGGACGAAGAUUGACGCUGAGGUGCGAAAGCGUGGGGAGCAAAC